rnacentral:rRNA from 1 species
CGUACGCACUGGCCCAACUAAUUGAUGGUGCUUGCACCUGAUUGACGUUGGAUCACCAGUGAGUGGCGGACGGGUGAGUAACACGUAGGUAACCUGCCCUGGAGCGGGGGAUAACAUUUGGAAACAGAUGCUAAUACCGCAUAACAACAAAAGCCACAUGGCUUUUGUUUGAAAGAUGGCUUUGGCUAUCACUCUGGGAUGGACCUGCGGUGCAUUAGCUAGUUGGUAAGGUAACGGCUUACCAAGGCGAUGAUGCAUAGCCGAGUUGAGAGACUGAUCGGCCACAAUGGAACUGAGACACGGUCCAUACUCCUACGGGAGGCAGCAGUAGGGAAUCUUCCACAAUGGGCGCAAGCCUGAUGGAGCAACACCGCGUGAGUGAAGAAGGGUUUCGGCUCGUAAAGCUCUGUUGUUGGAGAAGAACGUGCGUGAGAGUAACUGUUCACGCAGUGACGGUAUCCAACCAGAAAGUCACGGCUAACUACGUG